ensembl:lncRNA
AUGAUGAUUAAUUUGUCAGGUGUCAUGGGGUCAUGGAUGCUGAUUUGGAUUCUGUGUGCCACCGUCACUCUGAUGCCUGUGUGUCUUCAUGGAGCAAUAUCGGUCCGUUUUAAAACCGGACGGCCUCUGUAUGUUGCGCUCGGCCAAACACUUGUUCUGGAAGCCAUAUUAAAGACGGAUCCAGGCGACAAGAUAGACAUGGUGACGUGGGACCGCGAGAGAGGAACAGACAAUGUCCGACUGUCACAAGGAAACAGAAUAUCUUUGGAGAAUGGAGAUGCACUUCUGCGGCUCACUGAUGUUGCAGAAGAGGACUUUGCGAUCUAUAAGGUCACCGUUACGGACAGUAAUGGAUACCAGCAGCACGACUCCAUAGAAGUGCGAAAGAUUGUGGAACCUCUAAAGACGUCAAUUAUGCACGUGCUGGAGUGUGUUGUAGAUAAUCAUGGCAUGACGCAGUGGGACAGUCCUAUGUUUUCUUGGCUGGUUGAUGGUGUUACAGUAACCAAUCAAACCGCUCUGUUAGCAGAUGGAAGUAGACUAGUCAUCUCUGAAGUGAAGGGCGUUAACUACACCUGCAUCAUCAAGAGCAGCCUGGGGGUAGUGACUUCACAUUAUCAAAUACCAGAAGGUAUUGUUUAAUGACAAGAAUUUACGGUCAUGUUUUUAAUUUUUAGAGGUAAUUGUCCCAUGUUGAUGUGAUUUUUCUCCCUAAAAUGUUCACCACACCAUGCAAAAAACAUCAAGAGAAAAAAAAAAAAUAGGAAAGACUUGUCCCAUUAAUACAUUAACCAAAAUUAAAUACCAAUUAGCAAUUCAUUUGUUACAGAGUUUAUUAAUUAAGUAACAGUGUUGGGGAAAUUUAUUUUUAAAAGUAAUGCAUUACAAUAUUGCAAAAGUUACUAAUUAUGUAACAUUUGUGGAAAUUAAAUACCUUUUCAUGGAAGGUACUGUAAUGCAUUAUAUUACAUUUUUGUUACUUUGUCUUAUUUGUAUUUAAUUUAAAAUUAUGUAAAACCACUUUCAUACCAGAAAAGAAAUGCAUAAGCCUCACGCUGAAUGAAAUGUAAAUUAGUGCACACAGAUCAAACAAACCUCUGAUUUUAAAAAGUAAUGCAUUGCUUUACUUGUUACUUGAAAAAAAUCUGAUUGCGUAUUUGAAAUGCGUGACUAAUGAUACAACGGUUCAUUUUUCGUAUAUUUGUUUUUGUUCAGGUCCAUUACUGUAAAUAAUAUGAACAAAUAACUUUUUGUUUUUAACGCUGAUGUUAUGUUCUGGUCAUUUUGACCUGAGAGGAUCAUGCAAUGUUAUUGAUUAGGACUAAAAUCUUUUUUUUUUUUCCUGAUUUUCUUUUUCUCAUUUAAAUGGAUAUUGCCAAAAUGAUCAAAAACAUUUUUUUUACACUGAUACAGUAGUAAAUUAUGUUAAUAAAGAGUUGACAAUUUAAAAGUGACAAUUUUCAAAGGCUUUUCAUCAAAACUUUUGCACAUAUUUGUGCACAACCCAUUUCAUAUUCAUGAGAAAAGCCUUUGUUGUUGAUUAAUCAUAACUAGCUCAUCUAUGCAACUAUGCACUUUUUAAUAGCGUAGAACAGUUUUACUUUGUAAACUUUCCUCAAAUCUUCCUCAGAUUGUUUGGUGUUGACGAGCAAAAGUUAUUAAACAUUUUCAAUAUGCCAAACUAUUCACAUGUACCAAUUUGGAAACCAUACUGGUAAAAAAUAAAAAUAAAAAAGGGGUUAAAUCUUCUUAUAACCUCAGACCUGCUUGGCAUUAAAUCACAGUUCUGCUGUUCAAUCAUUUUUAAAGGGGUCAUGAGGAUUUUUUGUUAAUAUAUCAUUUUUUAUAUGUUCCUUGAGGUUUAUUUAUAAUGUUAAUAAUGUUUUUGCACGAUAAAUAAGCAAAUCUGUUGAAUAAAUGACUAUUUUCAACCCUCAAUCUGAACCUCUCUCAGAAACUGGCUUUUUUAAAGGGGCGGGUCCUUUAAGGCUUCUUAGUAUUUGCCACCGUUAUGAUUGGCUAACGUCAUAGCAUAGGAAACCGUAUCAGUGCCGCCUCACCAUUGCAUGUUUUGAUUGCUUUGACAAAAUAAUCAAUAUAAAACCAAUGCAUUACGUACAGUUUGUGAUUGAGCUGUUUAAUGACGAAGACAUUUUAGGUUCUGAAACUUGUGGGAUGUAAUAGCUACAAAGACCUCUUCUAUAUCAAAAGAUCACAGGUAAUUUGGUUUCCCGUGUCAUGGCUCCUUUAAAUAAUGCUAAACGCAGUGCACAUGAAAUCACUGCUGUGUUUGAGGCUAUAAUUGUUGCUUGGGCUAUGUCUCGAGAUGUAAAUGGUUUCUUUAAGUGUCUGUAAGUGGAUUUCUAAAGUAAUGUAAGCCAGCAUGUUUACAGCUGCUUUUAAU